GAUGAACGCUGGCUACAGGCUUAACACAUGCAAGUCGAGGGGAAACGGCAUUGGGUGCUUGCACUGAAUGGACGUCGACCGGCGCACGGGUGAGUAACGCGUAUCCAACCUUCCCGUUACUGCGGGAUAACCUGCCGAAAGGCAGACUAAUACCGCAUGUUCUUCGAUGACGGCAUCAGAUUCGAAGCAAAGAUCCGUCGGUAACGGAGGGGGAUGCGUCUGAUUAGCUAGUUGGCGGGGCGACGGCCCACCAAGGCGACGAUCAGUAGGGGUUCUGAGAGGAAGGUCCCCCACAUUGGAACUGAGACACGGUCCAAACUCCUACGGGAGGCAGCAGUGAGGAAUAUUGGUCAAUGGGCGGAAGCCUGAACCAGCCAAGUAGCGUGCAGGAUGACGGCCCUACGGGUUGUAAACUGCUUUUAUGCGGGGAUAAAGUGAGGGACGCGUCCCUUUUUGCAGGUACCGCAUGAAUAAGGACCGGCUAAUUCCGUGCCAGCAGCCGCGGUAAUACGGAAGGUCCGGGCGUUAUCCGGAUUUAUUGGGUUUAAAGGGAGCGUAGGCCGGGGAUUAAGUGUGUUGUGAAAUGUAGGCGCCCAACGUCUGACUUGCAGCGCAUACUGGUUCCCUUGAGUACGCGCAACGCCGGCGGAAUUCGUCGUGUAGCGGUGAAAUGCUUAGAUAUGACGAAGAACCCCGAUUGCGAAGGCAGCCGGCGGGAGCGCAACUGACGCUGAAGCUCGAAGGUGCGGGUAUCGAACAGG
rnacentral:rRNA from 1 species